UGAGGAAUAUUGGUCAAUGGGCGAGAGCCUGAACCAGCCAAGUAGCGUGAAGGAUGAAGGUUCUAUGGAUUGUAAACUUCUUUUAUAAGGGAAUAACAGACGCUACGUGUAGCGUUUUGCAUGUACCUUAUGAAUAAGCAUCGGCUAACUCCGUG
rnacentral:rRNA from 1 species